rnacentral:sRNA from 1 species
GUCGCUGCAACCACAGCGGCCGGGUUUAGCAGCCCGUUUAGGAAGGCGGACAACCGCCGCCAGGCGGUUUUUGU